ACACGUAGAGAGCAAGCGUUGUCCGGAAUUACUGGGCGUAAAGGGUAUGCAGGCGGAUAUUUAAGUCAACUGUGAAAUCCACCGGCUUAACCGGUGAUGUGCAUUUGAAACUGGAUAUCUUGAGUACAGGAGAGGAGAGCGGAAUUCCUGGUGUAGCGGUGGAAUGCGUAGAUAUCAGGAAGAACACCAGUGGCGAAGGCGGCUCUCUGGCCUGAGACUGACGCUGAUAUACGAAAGCUGGGGUAGCGAACGGGAUUAGAUACCCCGGUAGUCCCAGCUGUAAAUGCUGGACACUAGGUGUUGGAGGUUCGAAUCCUUCAGUGCCGGAGUUAACGCAUUAAGUGUCCCGCCUGGGGAUUACGGUCGCAAGACUGAA
rnacentral:rRNA from 1 species